rnacentral:rRNA from 1 species
CCUACGGGAGGCAGCAGUGGGGAAUAUUGCACAAUGGGGGAAACCCUGAUGCAGCAACGCCGCGGGAGCGAUGAAGGCCUUCGGGUCGUAAAGCUCUGUCCUAAGGGAAGAAUACUGUCGGUACCUUAGGAGGAAGCCCCGGCUAAUUACGUGCCAGCAGCCGCGGAAAUACGUAGGGGGCUAGCGUUAUCCGGGAUUACUGGGCGUAAAGGGUGCGUAGGCGGCCCAUAAAGUCAGAGUUGAAUGGCUACGGCUCAACCGUAGUAAGACUAUGAAACUGGAGGGCAUGAGUGCAGGAGAGGAGAGUGGAAUUACCAGUGUAACUGAGAACAGCGUAGAUAGUGGGAGAAAAACCAGUUGAGAGAGCGGCUCUGUGGGCUGAAAUUGUCGCUGAGUCACGAAAGCGUGGGGAGCGAACAGGAGUAGAGACCCGAGUAGUC